rnacentral:rRNA from 1 species
UGGGGAAUCUUGCGCAAUGGGCGAAAGCCUGACGCAGCAACGCCGCGUGCGGGAAGAAGGCUUUCGGGCUGUAAACCGCUUUCAGCAGGAACGAAAAUGACGGUACCACCAGAAGCAGCCCCGGCUAACUCCGUGCCAGCAGCCGCGGUAAUACGGAGGGGGCUAGCGUUGUUCGGAAUGACUGGGCGUAAAGCGCGCGUAGGCGGAUCGGAAAGUUGGGGGUGAAAUCCCGGGGCUCAACCUCGGAAU